rnacentral:snRNA from 1 species
AUCGCUUCUCGGCCUUUUGGCUAAGAUCAAGUGUAGUAUCUGUUCUUAUCAGUUUAAUAUCUGAUACGUCCCCUACCCGGGGACCAUAUAUUAAAUAGAUUUUUGGAACAGGGAGAUGGAAUAGGGGCCUGCUCCGUCCACUCCACGCAUCGACCUGGUAUUGCAGUAUCUCCAGGAACGGUUUGGUUGUC